rnacentral:rRNA from 1 species
CACAUGCAAGUCGAACGGUAGUGUAGCAAUACUUGAGAGUGGCGAACGGGUGAGUAAUAUAUCGGAACGUGCCCAGUCGUGGGGGAUAACGUAGAGAAAUUUACGCUAAUACCGCAUACGAUCUAAGGAUGAAAGCGGGGGAUUCGCAAGAACCUCGCGCGAUUGGAGCGGCUGAUAUCAGAUUAGGUUGUUGGUGAGGUAAAAGCUCACCAAGCCGACGAUCUGUAGCUGGUUUGAGAGGACGACCAGCCACACUGGGACUGAGACACGGCCCAGACUCCUACGGGAGGCAGCAGUGGGGAAUUUUGGACAAUGGGCGAAAGCCUGAUCCAGCAAUGCCGCGUGUGGGAAGAAGGCCUUCGGGUUGUAAACCACUUUUGUACGGAACGAAACGGUUCGCUUUAAUACAGUGGGCUAAUGACGGUACCGUAAGAAUAAGCACCGGCUAACUACGUGCCAGCAGCCGCGGUAAUACGUAGGGACCAAGCGUUGUUCGGAUUUACUGGGCGUAAAGGGCGCGUAGGCGGCAAUUCAAGUCAUCUGUGAAAUCUCCGGGCUUAACUCGGAAUGGUCAGGUGAUACUGCUUUGCUAGAGUGCAGAAGGGGCAAUCGGAAUUCUUGGUGUAGCGGUGAAAUGCGUAGAUAUCAAGAGGAACAC